ACAGAGGGGGCAAGCGUUGUUCGGAAUUACUGGGCGUAAAGGGCGCGUAGGCGGCCUACUAAGUCAGACGUGAAAUCCCUCGGCUCAACCGAGGAACUGCGUCUGAUACUGGUGGGCUUGAGUUCGGGAGAGGAAUGUGGAAUUCCAGGUGUAGCGGUGAAAUGCGUAGAUAUCUGGAGGAACACCGGUGGCGAAGGCGGCAUUCUGGACCGACACUGACGCUGAGGCGCGAAAGCCAGGGGAGCAAACGGG
rnacentral:rRNA from 1 species